GGGUAUAGCUCAAGUGGUAGAGCACGUUUAGAACGCGUGAGGUCCUGGGUUCAAUCCCCAGUAUCUCCU
rnacentral:tRNA from 1 species